UCCAUUUUGAGACAGGGUCUAACUAAGUUGCUCAGGGCCUCACUUAAUUGCUGAGGCUGGCUUGGAACAUGCGACCCUCUUACCCCAGCCUCCUGAACUGUGGGGUUACAAGUGUGUGCCCCCGCACCCAGCCAGGACCAAACCUUCAACACAUGAAUCUUUUUUUAUUUUUUAGAUAUUGAUGGACCUUUAUUUUGUUCAUUUAUUUAUAUGUGGUACUGAGAAUUGAACCCAGUGGCUCCCACAUGCUAGGCAAGCACUCUACCACUGAGACACAGCUCCAUCUCCUUAACACAUGAAUCUUUUGUGGGACAUUUCAGGUCCAAACUAUAGUAGCUGUAUAAUUUAAAUGGUAAAAAUGAAUAGAUGAAUGAAUGAAUGAAUAAAAGCCUAUUUUCAUACUUUUAGCCAAGUAUUUUUCAGGCUUUGGGGACAGUUAUGUAGCAUAUUUCAAUUUUCCUAGCAAUAAAUGAAGAUUUUUUAUUUCUAUGGGCUGCAAAAGAAGUUGGCUGUGGAAUGCAGAUCCCUCCUAUGGAGAUCACAGACACCAAUCAGUUUGCAUGUCAGCAAACCAAAUUGAAAGCACAAAUUACUUACAAUAAAAUUUCUUUACAAGAUAUAUGCAUUAACUAUGUUAAGGAGCCUAAAGAAAUACUCUGCAAAUUAACAGUCUAUAUGGCUCACUCCUUGCUGAUUUUCAACUCCAUGUUCUCAUCAAUUUACUAGCAGUGCCGCCUCUUCCAGAGGUGCUGGCCUUAAAUUCUCCGGGUCUUCUCCCAGUCAUGAGAUUUUGCAUUUGUUGCUGCCUCAGGACGGGUGGAUGGACAGACCACGCAGACAAAGGAAUGAUUAUGAACUCUUCAAGACCAGAGUUCAGCUAGGUGGUUGAUGACUGGUGGGAACAUUUAACCACGUGCUUUUUGAUUCUGUCAAAUGUCAAAUUUGCAGAGAUGGUCAAAUGUUGACAGGGAUUCAAAAGGGUCUUUUCUUAUCAACUGGAGAAUGUUGUUGCCAAGUCAGGCUCUCCAGUCUACCGUGGUUGGUGAUCUGGUUAGAAAUCGUGUCUCAAAGUUCCUGUGGACUUAAUUUUUCCUUCAGAAAUGGGUGGCUUGAAGGGAGAAGUCACCAUGGGACACCAUGACUCUGCAACUGAUUUUACCCUGUUAUUGCUAAAAGGUUGGUGAAGGAUAUAAUUUAAUGCCGACUCCCAGAGCAGUUGAAAAUGUUGGGAUAAUUAUGUGCAAACCUGUGAAAUGUCUCCAACCAUGAUUUGCACAGGUUCCAUUUUCAAACAAAGGAGCAGGGAGGAAAGACGUCUCUGUGGGUCCGAAAUGCUCCCUUCUGGGAAUCUCCACCUUGCCUUGCUUCCUGUGCACAGAGGUCAAAGGGUAUGGUUAAGUCUAGAGGAAACUUAGAGACCUAGGCUGUCAUGAGGGGGCUGACUCCAUGGCAGCUGCAUACCAUCUGUGCAAGGGAUUGCACUUUCCCCCCCUUGAAGACUGUUCCUUAUCCCCUGUGAAUGAAGAUGAAGCAUCAGGAACCUUCUCUUGGUGACCACUGAGGAUGUGAAGAGCGGGUCCUGUCUGCUCAGCCACCAGCUUCUCACCUGGUCUUCCAUUUCAGGAAAACGGCAUUAUGUAGAGCACAGUCACCUGCGUAUAUAAUAGACCACGGGGUGGUUCCGUAGCUGGGCACUAGCCUGGUUUUUGUUCUCUCUUCAGCCCAAGGUUUAAUAUCAAUACAGAUUCUUCAUAUUGAACACCAGACUUAACACAUUUGCUCCUUAGAGACCAACACUACUGGCUUAAAAUGUGUUCCUGUAUAGUUAUGCCCGGGGUUAGUUGCAUAAGUAACAGUAGUUGAGCAGGUGUCUGAGAUGAUUAUUUAACUAGUUAUUAAUUGAAGGGUAUUUUAUUUUUUUAAUAUUUAUUUUUGUGUUGUAGUUUGACACAGCACCUUCAUUUACUUAUUUUUAUGUGGUGCUGAGGAUCGAACCCAGGGCCUCGCACGUGCUGGGCGAGCACUCUACCACUGAGCCCCAGCCCCAGGCCCUCAAGGAUAUUUUCUUUCUCCCCACUUUAGAUUGACUUUGUAAUCACAUCUGUAAAAAAUGCUAUUAGCAAGUUGUGUAUUUCAAGUGCUCUUAUUAAAGAUGCCACCUGACUUUUAGUGCACUGCUUGAAGCACUUAGAGACGACAAUGCUUUUAUAAGUAAUGAUUUUGUUCUUUUUAUAAUGUACUGUUUAUUUUUAAUUGAUGUAAUAAUUGUACAUAUUUAUGGGUUACAGUGUGACAUUUAAAUACAUGUAUACAGUGUUCAGUGAUCAGAUCAGAGUAGUUACACAUUCAUCACCUCAAACAUUUUCCAUUUCUUUGAGUUGGAGUCAUUUGAAAUCCUCUCUACUAGCGGCUUUGAAAAUCACAUUUAAUUGUUGUCACCCACAAUUUAUGAAUAAACAUUUUUGACAUAAGGA